rnacentral:rRNA from 1 species
CCUACGGGAGGCAGCAGUGGGGGAUAUUGCACAAUGGGGGAAACCCUGAUGCAGCGACGCCGCGUGUGGGAAGACGGUCCUCUGGAUUGUAAACCACUGUCCCCAGGGACGAAGAUGACGGUACCUGGGGAGGAAGCUCCGGCUAACUACGUGCCAGCAGCCGCGGUAAUACGUAGGGAGCAAGCGUUGUCCGGAUUUACUGGGUGUAAAGGGAGCGUAGGCGGGAUUGCAAGUUGGGGGUUAAAUCUACCGGCUCAACUGGUAAUCGCACUCAAAACUGCUAUUCUUGAGUGAAGUAGAGGAAGGCGGAAUACGUGGUGUAGGGGUGAAAGGGGUAGAUAUGAGGAGGAACACCAGGGGCGAAGGCGGCAUGCUGGGCUUUUACUGACGCUGAGGCUCGAAAGUGUGGGGAGAAAAAAGGAUUAGAUACCCGAGUAGUC